rnacentral:tRNA from 1 species
UGGCGUGGUAGAUUCUGUUGGCAGAAUCGUCUGGUUUUCAACCAGGAGUCCGCGGGUUCGAUUCCCGUUCACGUCAU